rnacentral:rRNA from 1 species
AGUGAACGCUGGCGGUAGGCCUAACACAUGCAAGUCGAACGGCAGCACAGUAAGAGCUUGCUCUUACGGGUGGCGAGUGGCGGACGGGUGAGGAAUACAUCGGAAUCUACUUUUUCGUGGGGGAUAACGUAGGGAAACUUACGCUAAUACCGCAUACGACCUACGGGUGAAAGCAGGGGAUCUUCGGACCUUGCGCGAUUGAAUGAGCCGAUGUCGGAUUAGCUAGUUGGCGGGGUAAAGGCCCACCAAGGCGACGAUCCGUAGCUGGUCUGAGAGGAUGAUCAGACACACUGGAACUGAGACACGGUCCAGACUCCUACGGGAGGCAGCAGUGGGGAAUAUUGGACAAUGGGCGCAAGCCUGAUCCAGCCAUACCGCGUGGGUGAAGAAGGCCUUCGGGUUGUAAAGCCCUUUUGUUGGGAAAGAAAGACAGCAGGUUAAUACCCCGCUGUUCUGACGGUACCCAAAGAAUAAGCACCGGCUAACUUCGUG